rnacentral:lncRNA from 1 species
AAAAAAAAGAAGGAAGAAAGACAGGGAGGGAAUGCGGAAUGAAUGUACCUGGUGAAGGGGUCGCGGCCGGAGCGGAGGAGGCGGACGGAGAUGGUGGAGGAGAGAGGAGACGAAAGGCGGUUGUUUUGGGCUAAGUGAAAAGAAGGGGGUUGAAAUAAGGGAGAAUUGGAGGAGGGAGUGAGGAGGGUUCUGCCUCUGGAAGCGGUGGAAGCCGAUAAGGAGGAGAGGUGGUGGGAGGUUCUUACGGCGUUGUUGAGUAAUAAAUGACUCCUCCUCCUCCACAUUUUUCUGUCUCUCUUUGUUGUUGCUGUUGAAAAACCCUUGGCCUCCUUAAUUAUCGAACCCUCCCUCACUCUCACACUCUUCACUCUGAUCUGCUCUGCUGACCCUCUCCCCAAGUCACCCUCUCUCUUUUGUUCCCCCUCUGCCCACUCAAAUAAUUUAUUUUCCGAAGUUGUAAUUGACAGUGUGUGGUGGGUGGGUUUUGUUUUAGGCCCGACGUUUUAUAAUGGGCUCUUUUUUUUCUUUUAGAGUUUUUGUUAAAGAAUUGAGAAAAUCGAGACUAAUGUUCUCUGAACAUGAAGAACAAUGAGAGAACGGCAUGAUUUUUAUAAUUUUAAUUUUAAUUUCUUAAGUUAGAGAGCUUAGAUUUAUAUAAAAGUGAGGUUUUACAAUUCAUGAAUAAUAAGACAAUUUAAUCAUAUUUAAUCAGAUAAACAAUAGGAUUAGAGGAUAAAAAGUAAUCCAAAUUACUUUGAUUGUUCGAAUAAAUUCGGGUAGUAAAUUUCUUAAAGUUUCGGAGAAGAGGUAAUUCAGAGAAUUGCCUCAAAUUUAUUUAAGAUAAUUCCUGUAAAAUUAAAAAACUUAAAUCAUCCAAAUUAUAGUUCUAAUUUAUUUAUAAGGAUUUAGAAAUAAUGAGAUUGAAAUUUUUCUUAGUAAAAAAUUUCUUGAGCCUAGUUUUAUUAAUCCAUAUUUUUAAUGAAUUUCUUAUAAAAAAUUAAUGGGGCAAUGGUAAAAACAGUAUUAAUUUUGGAUUACCUGAUUUUUUCAAAAUAGGGUUUAUACAUACUGCUAUAAAUUGAUAAUAAUAUUUGCAUCUCAGAAACAUAGAAACAUUUGAUCGUAAAUCUUCUGUUACUUUUGUGUUGCAUUAAUUACUGCUUGGAUCGACACGAAGGUAAAGAGCUAAGCAAGUUAGCUAGUAAUUUAACCGAUAAUAAUUAAGUAUUAAAGUGUUAAUCAAGAAAAAGAACAUUUCUAGUUUGAAUCUUAUCACUUGGAUUUCCCAACUUACAUAGUGAUUGAUUAAAACUCUCGAGUUGAUAAAUUUUUGACCGUGAUUUAGCUCUCGAAAGUGAUCACUCACCCGUAGGCUAUGUCAGGAGUGAGUCCUUGCUAUGGAUAUAAGAAGAAGAAAAAAAAAACGAAGGUAUGGAGCUCUACGUAUCCUUGUUAUUAGUAAAGGUUAUAUUCAUGUGGAAAAGUGGUUAUCUCUUACAUGAACUUUGGUGCUCCCUUCAAAAGACUGAAGAAUUUGAAAGUAGAAUGCAAAUGUGAUUCAUAUGUGCUACCGGCGAAUAUCUCAACCUUCUUACGUGAUGCUGAAUACAUAAAAAUGGGAGAACGAAGCGAAGAAGGAAUCGUAGGUAAUUACAUUUUCAAAUUUUUAUUUCUAUUUGCAGUCUGAAUCUUAAUUGAUUUUCGUUGAUCGUUAAUAUUCUCAAUCAAUUUCAUUGCUUAAUCUCGAUUGCCGUAUUCAUGUAUUGAAUAUACUCAGCACACUCAAGUCUGCUAAUGGAUGAAGUGCAGACAUUGCAUUGAGAAGACAUUGCACUGAUGAGCUGGAAACUAAAGCUGCUAUAACAAGCUUAGCAGACGGUUAGAGUAGGCACAGCAGGUGGUUAGAUUCUGUUGUAAAGUCUGGUAUUCUGUUGUAAAAUCUGUUAUUUAUAACUGAUUCUGUUACUAUACUACAAGAAGGCUAUAAAUAUUGUAUCAGUUGAAUCAAUGAAUAAUAAGAAAAUCAGUUAAACAUUUUCGUUUCCAAUAUGGUAUCAGAGCAUUCUCUCUGAAUUUUUUUUCCCGCAUCCUUCUUUUUCUUCAUUCUCUCUUCUGUCUUCAUUCUCAACAAUGACUGACGCUACUUCAGAAAUGGAUUCUUCCAAUCCUUUCUUUCUACAUCAUGGUGACAGUCCUGGAGCCAUGAUUGUUUCGAAGCAACUCAAUGGUGAGAAUUAUAAUUCAUGGAAGAGGGCGAUGAUGAUGGCUUUAUCAGCCUAGAACAAACUCAAUUUCGUUAAUGGCACCUUGCCUAAGCCAUGCAAUCUAUCAGAUUCUCAAGGUUUGGCAUGGACUCGCUGCAACAAUAUGGUUCUCUCGUGGUUAUUGAAUUCUGUUUCAACAGAGAUUGCCAACAACAUCUAUAUUGAUGAUGCAUCUGAAAUUUGGAAUGAUCUUCAAGAUAGAUUCUCUCAACACAAUGGACCACGUAUCUUUCAACUACAGAAGUCCAUUUAUCUCUGUCACAGGAGAAUAACUUGUCAGUGCUUAUUUCACAACUAUGAAAGGCUUAUGGGAUGAGUUAGGCAAUCAUCAACCCAUUCCUACGUGCACAUGUGGAGCAUUGAAGACUAUUCUAUCUUAUCAUCAUCAACACAUGUUUAUUAGUUUCUCAUGGGCUUGAAUGAGAGUUAUUCCCAGAUUCGAGGACAAAUUCUGUUAAUUGAUCCAUUACCAUCCAUUAACAAAGUUUUCUCCCUUAUAAUUCAGGAAGAGAGGCAACGUAUGAUUUCUUCUUCAAGUGUUUCUUUCAAUCAGAACACCACUACAUUACUUGCCAGGACAGUAGCUCCAUCUCCAACCUAUUUUUCUAGACACAAAUCCUCUUAUCCUCGCAAAGAGCGUUCAAUAUGCUCUCAUUGUGGUAUUCAUGGCCACACUGUGGAAAAAUGCUACAAAAUCCAUGGAUUCCCACCUGGUUACAAGUUUACCAAAGGGAAAAAUGCAGUUCACAAUGUAAAUCAGGUCUCUGACAGCACUGUUCCUCGGCUACCUAUCACUUAUGCACAAUGUCAGCAACUCCUGGAGAUGUUCAACCCCUCAAUCUCAGAACGUGAAUCCUCUGUGAAUCAAGUCUCUUCAUCUGUCCAUAAAGAAUAUGAAAUUCUUACUUCAGGUGACACUCCAAUCAAACUAAACCAAGCAGGUACUCUUUCCAGUAUAUUUCCUUUCAAUCCAAAGCAUUCUGUUUUUUCAUCUACCUUAUCUCUUACUCAUCCAACUGCUCUCACAAAUUCUGUCAAAGCCCCUUGGAUAAUUGACACUGGAGCUACAGAUCAUAUGAUUUGUUCUACCUCCUUAUUUACACACAUUACUUCUGUCGUUUCCAAAACAGUAAGGUUACCUAAUGGACAACAUGCUUCAGUUACUCACAUUGGUACCAUUAAGAUUAUAGAAUCUCUUAUUUUAACCAAUGUGCUUUGUAUCCCUUCCUUUUCUUUCAACUUAAUCUCUGUCAGUAAGCUCAUUCAAACCUUACACUGUUGUGUCAUCUUCUUAUCCAAAUUCUGUUUUGUUCAGACUCUUGCAAACUGGAGAACGAUUGGUGUGGGUAAAGAAAAUGGAUGUUUAUACCAUUUGCUGCAAAAUCCGGUUUCUGCUUUAUCUAGGAAUUCUGCAUUUUCCACUCCUGUAAAAACCAUGUCCCAGCCUACAAUAAUGAAUCUAGCUUCUGCUAGUUUCUUUGUUCAUUCUGUAAACAAUAGUCUAUGGCAUUACAGAUUAGGUCACCCCUCAGAUUCUCCCUUGAAAUUGCUUUCUCAUGUAAUUCCUCAAGUUUUACAUGAAUCUAAUAAGACUUGCAGCAUAUGUCCUCUGGCUAAACAACACCGGUUACCUUUCCCACACAGCAUUACAGCUUUUGCACAACCCUUUGAUCUUAUUCACUGCGAUCUUUGGGGUCCUUUUUCCACUAAAUCUAUUAGUGGCUCUUCUUAUUUCCUGACCAUUGUCGAUGAUAAUACCAGGUUCACAUGGAUUCAUCUUUUGGAAAAUAAAUCUCAGACUAGAACUCAUAUUCAAUCCUUUUUCACUUUGGUUGAGACAUAGUUUAAUGCACAAAUCAAGUCUCUUCGAUCAGAUAAUGGAAUUGAAUUCCACAUGCCUCAAUUUUAUGCCUCAAAAGGUGUAGUUCAUCAACUGAGUUGUGUUGAAACUCCACAACAAAACUCAGUUGUUGAAAGAAAACACCAGCACAUUUUAAAUGUUGCCGAUCCCUUCGUUUUCAGUCUCAUCUACCUUUAUCAUUUUGGGGUGAUUGUGUUCUCACUGUCGUGCAUUUGAUCAAUAGGAUUCCUACUCCUGUCUUACAUAACAAAUCUCCUUAUGAAAUGUUGUUCCAAUCUCGUCCAUCUUAUUCCCAUUUAAGAGUCUUUGGUUGCCUCUGCUAUGCAACUACUCUCCUUAGACAUCGCCAGAAAUUUGACUCUAGAGCCAAACCUUGUAUAUUCCUUGGCUAUCCAUAUAACAUCAAGGGCUAUAAACUCUAUGAUUUACAUCUCAACACUGUCUUUGUCUCCCGAAAUGUUAUAUUCCAUGAAGCUGUAUUUCCUUUUUCCCUCAAACAUCAUAUCUCCUCUACUGAUUAUGUCCUUCCUUUACCUCUUACACUACCUGAAUCAGUAGCCCCAUCCCUUGAUCACAUGGAUUCAGCUUCUUUUCCUUUUCACACUAAUACUAGCUCACCCUCUAAUCCCAGUCCAUCUCCUCCCUUAAAUUCUGACUCAGCACCUCUUCUAGCAUCUCCUUCUGAGAUUAUUUCUCAGCCAUGCAGAAAGUCUUCUCGGAUAAAACACAAACCUGGAUAUUUGCAUGACUAUCAUUGUCAUAUUGCAACCUCCUCUUCAGAGCCUGCACCUUCUUCUUCAGUUUCAGGUAUUCCUCAUACAUUUUCCUCUGUCCUUUCUUAUGAUCAUCUAUCUCCUAAUCAGAAAUGCUUCAGUCUUUCUGUAUCUACCCUUGUUGAGCCUACUUCGUAUACUCAAGCUAUGUAUUCUAAGGAAUGGUGUGAGGCUAUGGACAAUGAGAUUAAAGCUCUUGAAUUGAAUAAUAUCUGGACUGUUGUUGAUCUCCCUGCUUCAAAACAUACUAUUGGCUGCAAAUGGGUCUACAAAGUUAAACUCAAAUCUGAUGGCACCUUAGAGAGGUAUAAGGCCAGGCUCGUUGCCAAGGGCUAUACUCAAUGUGAAGGACUGGACUAUUAUGACACUUUCUCCCCUGUGGCUAAGCUCACCACGGUGAGAACUCUUUUGGCAGUUGCUGCUGUCAAGCAUUGGCAUCUCCAUCAAUUGGAUGUUAACAAUGCAUUUCUUCAUGGCGAUUUAGAUGAAGAAGUCUACAUGUCCUUACCACCUGGUUUUGCUAAAAAGGGGGCGUCCAAAGUUUGCAAACUCCAUAAGUCACUCUAUGGUUUAAAGCAAUCUUCGCGGCAAUGGUUUGCCAAAUUUUCCUCUGCAUUGCUUGACUUUGGUUUCGUGCAGUCCAAGGCUGAUUACACUUUGUUUACUCGAUCAUUGGCAGAUUCCUUCAUUGCUAUCUUAGUCUGUAUUGAUGAUAUAGUUGUUGCCAGUGACAAUUCAGAUGCAGUUUCCACGUUUAUUCACUUGCUUAAUAACAAAUUUUAGCUUAAAGAUCUUGGACCAUUGAAGUAUUUCCUUGGUUUGGAAAUAGCUCGCAGUGAGCUUGGCUUAUCCGUCUGUCAGCGCAAGUAUGCCUUGGACAUCCUUGAGACUACUGGUUUGUUAGCUUCGAAACCAGCCAAAGUUCCAAUGGAUCCUAAUGUGAAAUUCUCUAAGGAUUCUGGACCACUCUUAGAUGAUCCUACCUCCUAUAGACGACUUAUUGGCCGACUACUCUAUCUCACCAUCAGUCGUCCUGACAUUUCUUUUGUUGUUCAGGUUUUAAGUCAGUUUAUGGAUAAGCCACGAGUUCCUCAUCUUGAUGCAGCUACUCAGGUCCUACGUUAUAUUAAAGCCUCUCCAGGUCAGGGACUAUUCUUUCCAGUCGCCUCUAGCCUACAACUUAAAACUUUUUGUGAUUCAGACUGGGCUGGUUGCUUGGAUUCUAGACGUUCAGUCAUAGGCUUCUGCGUCUUCCUUGAUAAUUCUUUGAUUUCUUGGAAAUCUAAGAAACAAACCACAGUCUCCCGAUCUUCUGCUGAAGAUGAGUAUAGAGCUAUGGCAUCCACAUGCUGUGAGAUUGUGUGGCUUCAAGCCCUUCUCCACGACUUGCAAAUUCCCCUCCAAACUGCUCUCCUUUACUGUGACAGUAAAGCUGCUCUUCAUAUUGCGGCCAAUCCGGUUUUCCAUGAGCGUACCAAACACAUUGACAUUGAUUGUCAUGUGGUUCGUGAGAAAAUUAUAUCCGGUGUUCUUCGUACUUUUCAUGUCUCCUCUCAACACCAAUUGGCUGACAUUUUUACGAAGGCUCUCCCUUCGUCCCUUUUUCACUUGUUACUAUCCAAAAUGAGUAUUCAUAAUAUCUACUCUCCUUAACAGUUCUUUUAUGAAUCUCAUCUUGAGGGGGCGUAUUGAAUAUACUCAGCACACUCAAGUCUGCUAAUGGAUGAAGUGCAGACAUUGCAUUGAGAAGACAUUGCACUGAUGAGCUGGGAAACUAAAGCUGCUAUAACAAGCUUAGCAGACGGUUAGAGUAGGCACAGCAGGUGGUUAGAUUCUGUUGUAAAGUCUGGUAUUCUGUUGUAAAAUCUGUUAUUUAUAACUGAUUCUGUUACUAUACUACAUGAAGGCUAUAAAUAUUGUAUCAGUUGAAUCAAUGAAUAAUAAGAAAAUCAGUUAAACAUUUUCGUUUCCAAUAUCAUGCUUAUCCAAUAUCAAUCGAAACCAGUAAACGUCCAUGAAUGUUCUAAAUCACUGUAGCAAUCUGGAAGCAGAAAAAUUCUUGAUAUGAAUUAUUCAUAAACAUGCAUGUUCUAAAUAAGGCUUUUGAAUCCUACGCUGUUAUGUCAUUGCAAUCCAAGUCCAUGGUUAUGAGGGAAAUGCUCUGUUUCUGGCACCGGCCUCGUCUUCGCUUCAUCGUUGCUACCCGUUUAAUACUGUAAGUGCUGUGAUAUGCCUCACCAUUUCUUGUAGGUGCGAGGUUGAUGUUCGACAGCUGCAUCAUUACGAGGAAUGAGUCGGUCUCGUUUGCAAGACUUGAAGAAAACAAGAAAGCUGACAGAGGGAGUUUGAAGAACAGCAAGGCAGUCUUAUUAUUCUAUGUGAUUUCUACGGUGCAUAUACAUAGUUUAUAUAAAAAAGAUCUUGUCUAAAUAAAUAAACGGACAGACUAGCAACUAAUCUUUAGGAUUUAAUUACAAAAACUACAAUCAAACUAAAUCUCUAAGAUAUGAUUUACAACUCAAGCUUUAAUUGUUUUGAUUCCGAAUCCUAACAAGACUAGCCACCAAAUUACAUCCAAAUUACAUAUUUGAUUUUUUUCUUUUCCAGUUGCAAUCUGCGGCGGCAUCCCAUUUCCAGGAGCUAAGCUUUAACAAGGUUGCUUAUUCACAUUACUAUUUUGCAUGCAUAAAUCUAUGCUAGAAAUAUUUGGAACUAAUUACUUUGCCAACGCUUCUGUUUGCAUGAUAACACUACCCAAAAGUAGGCAAGGAACAGAGCAUUAGAAUUGGUUGUGAAACGAGGACAGCCCCUGGUUGAUCCGAGUGAUGGAGAAAACGUGGAUGAUUGGAGUUCUCCCAUGGUUCUGAGGUCUUGAAAGAGUUCGACAGCGCCUGUUUUAUUCAAGAAGCUUUUGGUCUUCGUCACCAGGCAUGAGGUAUUUUAGUUGUAAGGAUUCCUAGCUUCUCAGAACUGGAGCUCUGAUACCAUAAAGAAAAUGAUAAUGCAAAUGUUUUCUGUAUUUUCUUUUUUCAAUAUUGCAAAGCUGUACGACAUAUAUAUGCAGUUUACAUACAAUCUGAUCCACCAUUCUAGGAGCUAUUCUGGGAUUAUCUUUGAUAAACUGUUAAGGAAUCGAAAUGUCAAAGCAACCGAUCUCUUCACGGCGAAAUGUACUUCACAUAAAAAGCGCACUCCUAAAUAAAUAAAUAAUGUGAAUACACUAAGAAAGGGUGAUUGAAGUAAAGAUGCAACAACUGCUGCAUGCAUUGGUUCUUUUUUUAUAGAUGUAACACCCAAACCUUGCAUCAAAACUAACCAAAAAAAAAAAACGCAAAUUAAGUGACUCGAAAAUAUGCCAUGUAUCGAAUAAAGCUAAUAAUAAAAAUAAAAUCAAAACACAACCAUGAAGGAAAACAGAAGCAGUACGAAAGAGGAAUCCAAUUCUCUGAAUCUGCCACUCUAGCGUUCUUCUCAUGUCAACCUCCACUUCGUAUCUCAUAAGGUAGCGAGAAUGUUUAUUCAAAACUUCACUGCAACAGAGAAACAUACAAAUAUUUUUUUUAUUUAAUGAAUCCGAAAGCGAAAGAAAAGACUAAUAAAAGGAAAUAGCACAGAAAAAAUAGCAUAAACUGUUGCACGUAAAACCUUAAGAUGUCAAAUGCAUAACUUACCUCAUGUUACUAGCUCCGUUGUUUAGUUUCUUCUUGCACCAUUCCUACGAGCAUUCUUCUUCGUUCUUCUUGCCUUCAGAUUCCAUAGAUCUUCAACCACUUUCAGAAACCAUGCUGGUUUUCUUGUUCUGAACACAACGUAUCCCAUUGUGACUCCAAACACAAACCCACUUCCAUACCCUAUUGCCACAGCUUUCCAUCCAAAUCCUUCUUCAAAGAAUUUUGAAUCAUCUCCAUCGUGAAAGUCUGAUGGCUGCAAUGGUGGUGCCUCGUCACUUUUGCAUUCUUUUGGCAUGGGGAAUCCACAUAAGCCCCAGUUUCCUUCAAAUGAGCUUGCAUUGAACGUGCUGAACUGCGUUCCCCCGGGUACGGGCCCCUUAAGGUGGUUAUGUGAAAGGUUUAUGACUGCAAGAAAUGUUAGAUGUGCCAACUGUACUGGAAUCCUUCCGGUAAGCAAAUUCGAAGACAAAUCUAAUGAUUCCAGAUUGGUCAACAUUCCUAAUGAUGAUUGAAUAUGGCCUGUAAGGGAAUUAUGAGAGAGGUUGAGUUGUAGAAGUGCUUUAAGCUUUCCGAUCUCCUUUGGAAUCUCUCCGGUGAAACUGUUGCUUGACAAAUCAAGUAUUCCAAGAGAGCUUUGGAUUUUCGGAAACUCAAUAUCAAACCCUUUCCAUGUCACUUUUAUGGAAUAGGCAUAGUCAGAGUAACUUCUUGCCAUCAUGGAAACUGAAUUUUGAUCAGAGACCAUCAUUGCUUCAAAACUAUUAAAAUACCAUGUUGGCAAUGAUCCACUCAAAUUAUUGUUGGAGAUGUCGAAAAUCCGUAAUUUGGAGAAGGAAUUAUUAGCAAACGAACCAUUCAUAAAACCCUGGAGCUUAUUGGACUUUAGGACAAGAACAUGCAGCUCUGGAAGCAUUUGAAGGAAAUAGGGGAAUGCACCCUCAAUCUUAUUGUUGCCAAGAUCAAGAACUUCCAACGAUGUGCAGUUGAUGAUAGACGAUGGUAUUUUCCCUUCCAAUUCAUUGCCAUUUAGGUUGAGAUAUCCCAAGCUAUUCCCUUUUGAAAAUGGUGAAAAGAUAGUUCCUUGAAGAUUAUUCAUGCCAAGAUUCAAAAUUGAGAGAGAUUUGCUAAAGUUCCCUAAACAUUGUGGUAUAAAACCACUGAAGCUGUUGUUGGACAAAUCAAGGAGUCGAAGGAAUUUAAGCUUGCAAAUAGAAGAAGAAAUUUCACCUGUUAAUUUAUUAUUGGAUGCAAGAGCAAGGACUUCCAGGUUCUCUUGUUUGAAAAUUGAACUUGGGAUUGGACCAUGCAAGUGGUUGUUUCUCAAAUCAAACAAUUUCAAAGAACAUACUGAUUUGAGAAGGGAUAGGUCCUACAAGUUGAUUACUAGAUAAACGUAAAUUUUCAAGGAGAGUCAGGUUACCUAAAAAAUCUGGAAUCCUACCUGAAAAAUUAUUGCCAUCAAGAUAUAAGGAUUGAAGUUGUACAAGGUUUUUAAGUGAUGAUGGAAUCUGACCACUUAAAUUAGUACCUGAGAGUUCUAAACGAGUGAGGUGUGUGAGAUAGCCGAUCAGGGUUAGAUUUGACCUUGUGAUAUUAGAGUUUUUGAGAGCCAAAACUUCCAACGACUUUAGAUUUGUGAAGAAGUCAUUUUCUAAAUAAACUGAAAUUCUAGUAUGAGAAAGACCCAAUAACCGGAGGCUCUUACUCACAUUGGAUGAAGGAAAAGAGCCAGUGAGGUCGUCGUUGUAUGUCAAAUCAAGUUCUUGAAGGUUUGGUAGGAGAAAGAUGUUACCUGGGAACUUCCCUUUCAAUCCACAACCCCAAAGGCCAAGACCUAACAAGGAUGAGGACAGAUUCGCCAAGGAAUUAGGUGUGACCAAAGGCAUAUUUACAUAACCCAAACGGAGACCUCCUAGCUUGGUUAGGUUUUGAAUAAUCUUGUCAAAAGAACUUGGUUCUACAUUCAAAUUGUCAUUGAAAGACAGAUCAAUUGAAACCAACUCAGUGAGUUGGCCAAGAUCAUCUGGAAUUGAACCUGUAAGAUUGCUGUAUCUAAGAUCCAAGUGCUGGAGGUGCUUAAAUUUUCUCACUGAGGAUGGGAAUUUUCCUUGCAAUCCACAUGAAUAGACUGUGAGUGAUGACAAAGAAGAAGACAGAUUCAUCAAGGAAUUGGGUGCAGCCAAUGACAUGUUCACCCAUUUCAGAUAGAGUUUUCUAAGCUGGGUUAGAUUUUGAACAAGCUUGUCAAAAGAAAUUGGUUCUAGACUUAGAUAGUCGUUUUCGUUUCCAGAGAGAGCAAGUGAAACCAACUCAGUGAGUUGCUCAAGAUCAUAUGGAAUUGGACCUCUAAGAUUGUUAUCUGCAAGAUUCAACUGCUGGAGGUGCUUAAACUUUCUCAUUGAGGAUGGGAAUUCUCCUUGCAAUCCACAGGAAAGGAGUUUGAGUGAUGACAAAGAAGAAGACAGAUUCAUCAAGGAAUUGGGUGUAACCAAUGACAUGUCUACUGCACUCAGAUCGAGUUCUCUAAGCUGGGUUAGAUUUCGAGCAAGCUUGGCAAAAGAAAUUGGUUCUAGACUUAGAUAGUCGAUUUCGUUUCCAGAGAGAGCAAGUGAAACCAACUCAGUGAGUUGCCCAAGAUCAUCUGGAAUUGAACCUGUAAGACUGUUUUUUCUAAGAUCCAACUGCUGGAGGUGCUUAAAUUUUCUCAUUGAGGACGGGAAUUCUCCUUGCAAUCCACACGAAUAGAGUAUGAGUGAUGACAAAGAAGAAGACAGAUUCAUCAAGGAAUUGGGUACAACCAAUGACAUGUUUACCCGACUCAGAUCGAGUUCUCUAAGCUGGGUUAGAUUUCGAACAAGCUUGUCAAAAGAAAUUGGUUCUAGACUUGGGUAGUAGUUUCCAGAGAGAUCAAGUGAAACCAAUUUGGAGAGAUGAGAGAUUUCCGACGGAACUUGACCUGCAAAGCCUGAGAAAUUUAGGUUAAGAUGUGUCAGAUUGGAGAACUGGCCAAAUGAAGAAGAAAUAUGAGAGCUUUGGAAAUCAUUGUCAGAGAGGUCGAGGUUUUGAAGAUGAUGCAGGGAGAAGAGAGAAUUAUUGGGAAGGAAGGUUCCGUGAAGCAGCAGUCUGUACCCUCUUUCCACGACUCUGUCUUGGGAUGCUGGCAACGAUAUGAAGCAGAGCUAUUAAUGGAAAAGGACUCUUUGAAUUGGAGCAAAGAAAGGCUUUGGUCAGGAGCACAGAGAUGAGAUGAAGAGGAGUAAUUUGAUGAAGAAAUUGUUGUGUGAAAAUGGAAGAGAAACAGAAUGGAAGAGAGAAAUUGAGAGAGGGACAGUGGUGAAAACCCCAUGUUGGCUGGCCUUACAGGAUUCGAAAGUAUAUUUGGAGUGUUGAGCGAAAGAUGAGAAAUAAAGAUUCGCAUUGGAACUAUUUAUACACAAACCAAUCAAGAUUGUGCUAUUCAAAUUAUUGUAGAUAUUGAAAGCGGACUUUUACAUGAAAAUAAUUAUAAUAAGAAAAAAAAAAAACAGUUUAUUAGCUUACGACGUGGUCUGUCCACUGGGAAACAUGAGUGGCCAUAAACAAAGAAAGGAAAGUUCAGCGUAGUCACGAAGUCCUUUUUCUUGACCCCAAAGUCUUCGUUUCUAGCAAGGGUUGUUUGAUAUUGAGGUUACUGUUAUGGUUAUGGUUUUAAAAAAAUUGUUUUAUAAAAAAUAUUUUUAGUUGAGGUUGGUUUGAAAAAAUAUAUGUUUUGUUAAAAUUGUGGUUGAAAUUGAGGUUGAACAAAAAAUAGUUUAAUGUGUUUGGUAAAAAAAUACUUUUCAAAUUGAGGUUAUAAAAUAAUUAAUAUAUAUAUAUAUAUUAAUGAUUUUUAAUUUAAAUAUUUUAGAUUUAACCACUGUUAUUAUAUUAUAAAAUAAAUAUAAAGAAUCAAAUAUUAUCUUUCAUUAAACUAUAUGCAAUGUCAUUACAAUACAAAUCUAUCAACAAGGACUAUAUUUUUCAUGUUUUAAGCGCGCAACAACAAAAACUGAAUUUUUUAUCAUUAAGUGAUCCUUUAAGUUAAUAAAACACAAUAAAAAAAUAAAAAACUGAAUUUCUUUAUAUGUUAUUAAAUAUAUAAAUAUUAGUUUUUCAAGUAAAACACAUUUUUAAAAAAAAUUUACAAUUUAUUAUGUACAAAAUUCAUUCGACAAAACUACAGAAAAAAAAUUUUUGAGCGUGCAAUAAAUUAAGUAAAAUAUUAUCAUGAAUAAAAUUGAGAUUACAAUACGAGUAAAUUUAAUUCACCUUAAACUAAUGUUUUUUAAAAAUAACAUUGUUCAUGUUCACAUGAAUAAUGCGAGUAAAAUCAAUUAAUUGCAUUAAUAUUUCAAGAAAAAAAAACUUCUUGCAAUGUUUUUUAAAAAAAAAAAAAAAAAAAAACUAUAAUCGUGCGAGUGAAUUAAUUCACUCGCACUGUUGCAACAGUGGAGCCAUGCUCCACUGUUCUGCUUUUGAAUCCUAUGAGAAGCAACAAAUUUUGCUGCUUCUCCAAAACAUGUGGCGCGGCUGAGAAUUUGAUGGGUCCCACCAUCAAAAAGCAGUUUUCUUUUGUUAACCAAACGGCAUUUGGUGUGGCUGCGGGUGAACCUCAAAAUUUGUUACCAAACGGGCACUAAGUGGGUGUUUGGUUUUGUGGUUGCAGGUGAGGUUCACCCGCAACCACAUAUUUUAGUGUUUGGUAAUAGGAAAAAAAAUGAUUUUCACUGGUGGGACCAUCAAUUUUAACGGCUGCGUCACAGGUUCGGAGAAGCAGCAUUUUGCUGCUUCUCAUGCUGAGAAUAACAUCAACAGUGGAGCCAUGCUCCACUGUUCAUUGACACAUUGAACAGUGGAGCCAUGCUCCACUGCGCACUGUUCGCUAAGUGAAUAUUUUUUUUUUAAAAAAAAAAACCAUGAAAAUGAGUUUAAAUUUUUUUUUUGUUUUUUUAAAAAUUAUAAUAACAUACCAUUUAUGAAAUUUGAUCGCAAUUCCAAUUAUGUUAUUACCAAGUCCGGCCCAGUUAAAAAAAAUUCAGUUUUUAUUUUUAUUUUAAUUGUGUUCUAUUUAAAAAAUUAAAAAGAGAUCGUUUGAUGACGUAAUAAAAGAUUCAGUUUUUGUUAUUGUGCGCUUAAGAAACCAUGAAAAAUAUAGUCCUUGUUGGAUAGAUUUCGCAUGUGAUGACAUUGCACAUAGUGUAAUGAAAUAAUAAAAAAUAUUUGAUAUCAAUAUUAUUUAUUUCAUGAUGUAAUAACAGUAGUUAAAUUUACAAUAUUUAAAUUAAAAAUCAUUAAUAUAAAUAUAUAUAUUUUUUAAUUAUUUUAUAACCUCAAUUUGAAAAGCAUUUUUAUUAACCAAACACAUUAAACUACUUUUUUUUUAACCUCAAUUUCAACCAUAAUUUUAACCAAACACCUAUUUUUUCAAACCAACCUCAACUAAAAGUACUUUUUAUAGAACAAUUUUUUUUUAAAUCACAACCACAAAAGCUACUGCAAUACCAAACACAUCCUAAAUGAUUUCCCCGCAAAUUAGUGGUGCUAAUAAUUAAUUUUAUAGAUACUGGAUGUGGAAUUUUACAUGAAAAUAUUUUUAGGGAAAAAGAAUUACGACUGCUUUACAUACUGACUUUAGUUUCCAAAAAGAAAUCGAGGCACAACAUUUUCAAUAGAAAGAAUUGUUUUUUAAUAAUUUACAAACGUAGUUAAUUCACAUCUUAGGUAUGUGGCCAUGCAUGAUUUAAGCACCAAAACGUAGAUAAAGUAUACAAGAAAUUACUGUGUCUAUUAUUGAAUACCCUUUUAAUGUUUUGAACUUAAACUGUGAGAUUAUUGAAUAGAUCAUCCAUUUCUCUUUGGAGUACUAUUAAUGACUAAAAUGCCAUUAAAAUAAUUAGCAUGUUACUACCUGCUCCAUUUUAAUGAUUUGAUUUGAAGUGGUAGUCCUAAAAGACGUUUCCAUAAUUCAAGUGCAAGCUAUUUAAUUUAUUUAUUUUAUUGUUGCUAGCGAACUCUUCUUUGUUUCUUUUUCAUGAGUUGCCUAUAGAGCAAACGGUUUUUUAUUGUAUAAUCUACGUUCACAAAUGAAGUGGCUCCAUGAUUUUUGUUGAGAGUAGAUAAUAUCCCUACAUUUACAUUUGCAGCAAGUUUUUGUGCCAGUCUUCGGUGCUGAAUAUGGAAUUGAAGAUUGAAUUAUUCAAUUAUAAAUAUUUCUGUACAAGUAGGUCCCUUAGUUGACUAAACAAUAGUGUUGGAAACACGGCAAUAUUAAUUUUUAUAAUUGAUAUUUUUUGUGGAAAUUAUUUCUUAAUAUUCAUAUAUAUAAUUCAUUAACAAUUUUGGGUAAAGAGACGUAAGGAUGAUAUCCCUUCAUAUUUACAUCUGCAGAAAGUGUAUGUGCUAAUAGAUACAGUUUGUGCUGUAAUUAGAAAUUUUUUUGUAGCUCGUCUGAUGGUCUGUCCUUUUCCUCCUUGACCUAACUUGGAAAUAAUGUCCAACAAUUACGUGUGGAAAUGAUGGAAUUGAAUGUUGAAUUAUUCAAUUGCAAAUAUUUCCAUACCAGUAGGUCCCUUAAUAUUUCCGUACCUCCUUGACUAUAAUGUGAAUCUCAGAAGCAGGCAUUGUCCCACCUCUGGACUUCGAGCAAAAGCUCUUGAAAAAAUUGGGAAUUGUAUAUGACUUAUUCCCUGGGAAACAUAAGUGGCCGUAAACAAAGAAUGGAAUGUACAGCGGAGUCACGGAACUAAACUACCAAAGUCUUUUAGGGGAAAUCACUUACGACUUGGUCUGUCCUUUUACUUGACCCCAAAGUCUUUGUUUCUGGUAAAUAAUUUUCCCGCAAAUUAAUUAAUCUUAUAGAUAUUGGAGGUGGGAUUUUACAUGAAAAUAUUAUUAGGGAAAAAAAUUGUGACUGCUUAAUGUGAAUGUUCAGAGAAGUUUUUCUAAAGUGUAUUUAGGAAUGGAAUUUAUGUGAAGCUUGCUUUACAUACUGAAUUUAAUUUCCCAAAAAAAAAAAAAAUCCGACCACAAAAUUUUUCAAUAAUUUACAAACGUAGUUAAUUCACAUCUUAGGUAUGUGGCCAUGCUUGAUUUAAGCACCAAAACGUAGAUAAAGUAUACAAGAAAUUACUGUGUCUAUUAUUGAAUAGAUCAUCCAUUUCUCUUUAGAGUAAUAUUAAUGCAUAUAAAUCUCAUAAUAUUCUUUAUAUUUAUGUUAGCUGUAUAGCAUCUCAAGGGCUUUUUUCUAUUUGAAGGUUUUAUUAUUAUUGCAUUCUACCUCAAAAUCAAUAAAACUUUGAUUAUUAUAUAUAUAUAUAUAUAUAAAAUCAUAUUAAAUCAUUAUUGUUCACAACUUUGUGUACCCAUCGAGCAAAUCGGAUGUGUCCAAUUGGAGAGAUAAAAUUAUGGAAGGAAAAAUAUUGGAAACCAAAUAUAGAAGAUAAAAAACUGAUCCUUUAGUCAAAUAAAAUACGUUCUAGCAAAUUCCUCAAGUGAUUUUAAAUCUAAGAGCAACCUAUUUAAUUAGAAUAUUUCAUUUAUAUUUUUUAGUAGAGAUUCCUAAUGACAUUUUUUCUUGAACAAGUGAUUUCUCGGCACUCCUCAAAUAAUUUCUAGCCUGACAGACAAACAAACAAAUAAAUCACUUAAAAUUCUCAAACAAUUAUAUAUAUAUCACAGUUAAUUACUUUUUGACAUUUUUUAUCACAUUUUAUUUAUUUAUUUAUUUAUUUUAUAAGUUGGUGAUUAUUUUUUAUAGAAUGUUUACGCACAUAUUGAAUAGAUAUGAACGUCAAUUACCUCACAAAGGGUGUAAGCAAAGGGGAAAAAAAAGAACAAAAAAAGAGGAAAAGUAAAUACUUGAGAUAUAUAAAAUAUGACUAAAAUGACUAAAAUGAGAAACCCUAUGUCAAACUAUCGCUUUAUAUUAUUUUAAAUGACUAAAAUGCCAUUAUAAUAAUUAGCAUGUUACUACAUUUUAAAUGAGUUUAUGAUUUGAAUUGGUAGUCCUAAAAGUUCUUUCUUUUUUCAAGUCUGUCCCUUUCAUUGACCUUCAAGUCUCCGCAACUAAUUAAAAUAUAGUGUCAAACAAGUGGCGCAAAACAUGGGGCUGAAGGUUUAAUUAUUGAAAACUUCAAUAUUUCCAAGUGUUGGAAACACCGCAAUAUAUAUUAGUUUGCAGGAUAAUUUUUGUAAUAUUGGGCUUUUGUUGCGGAGUAAUUGAUUAAUUCAAGUGUUUUUUAUUUAAGAAUAUAUUAAAAUAAUAUUUUUUAUUUUUUAAUAAUUAUUUUUAAAAUCAGUAUAUUAAAAUGUUACUACAUUUUAAAUGAGUUUAUGAUUUGAAUCGGUAGUCCUAAAAGUUCUUUCUUUUUUCAAGUGUGUCCCUUUCAUUGACCUUCAAGUCCCCGCAACUAAUUAAAAUAUAGUGUCAAACAAGUGGCGCAAAACAUGGGGCUGAAGGUUUAAUUAUUGAAAACUUCAAUAUUUCCAUACAAGUGUUGGAAACACGGCAAUAUAUAUUAGUUUCCAGGAUAAUUUUUGUAAUAUUGGGCUUUUGUUGCGGAGUAAUUGACUGUUUGAGAUUACUGAUAGUAGUUAUGAAUUAAAGUGUUUUUUAUUUAAAAAUAUAUUAAAAUAAUAUUUUUUAUUUUUUAAUAAUUAUUUUUAAGAUCAGCACAUUAAAAUGAUUUAAAAAAUAAUUUUUAGAGAAUUUUAUUUUUGAAAUUUAAGGGAAUGCGGUUUCAAUCGCGUUCCCAAACGAUAAAUGUUUGGAAAUAUAGUUGUGGUUACUUUUCAAAGUGUUUUUCACUUGAAAAUGUAUCAAAAUAAUAUUUUUUUUUUAAAAUAUUAUUUUUGAUAUUAGUGCAUCAAAAUGAUCUUAAAAAAAAAAAAAUUUCUUUUUCAAAAACACUUUUAAAAUACAAAAACAAACAAAACCUCUAAAUCAUAUACAUAAUAAGAAUAUGCAAUGAGUUUUUUUUCUUAAUGAAAUACGAGAGAUUUAUUCGAUCACUAUUAUAGCCAUUAAAAACAUAGCUUAAUAGAUAGAAAGAAGAGCACUGAAAAACUCAGAAGAGUGAGAAAACUUACUAGCACAACUAAAUCCACAACUAAGUCAUUUUCUCUAAGAACUCUUGCUUGACUAAAUGAUCUGCAACAAUAUUAUUUCUUGUAUAUAAUUUUUCAAAAAAAAAAAAUGAACACACAAGAUUCUCAAAAGGAUGAAUUUUCUUUAGUAAUUUACACGUAUAGUUAAUUCACAGCUUAGGCAAAUGGCAAGAUUCCUCGAUUAAAUAAUAUUUUAUUUCAUUAAUAAAUUUUCAUCAUACCAAGGGAAUUAAUUUGUAGAUGUUUAAUUGUAUUGUAAUUUUUCGACUUCAAAGAUUUUGAGAAUACUCCAAUUGCAUAACUUGGAAAUUCUAGGGUUCUAUCGUGGAAAUGGAGGAUUACAAAAAAGGUUUUAGGGAUGAGCUUUUUGCACCAAAGGCUGCACCUUCCAGCUAUAAAGAUGGAUUUCCAAGGUUUGAUAACAGCCAUUUAAAUAGCUUUUAGACCGACAAUUACAUGAAAGGAAAAAUUAGAAUUUCAAAACUGGUGGGAUAAGUAAUAUAAAAUCUAAAAUUACGUUAAAAAUUCAAAAUUCUACGCCUGAUUUGAAGUCCUUACCGAAGAAGUGGGCGAAGCCAGCGCUCCUAAAUAAAUUUGAGCGUGUUUUAACUGUCAUAUAAAAAGUUACAGUUUAUUUAUUUUUAUAACUAUAGGUAUUCGAGCUGGUUUGUCCAUACCUCAACUAAUUUCACGGGUUUUGAAGUUAAUAAACAUAUAAGUCUCUAGUAGUCCUAAGAUUUGUAAGAUUUGAACUGGUGAUCUCUAAAGAGCAAACUUAAAACUUGACCAAUUAAAUUACACCCUUCAAAAUUAAUUAUAGUCUAUUUUAUUAUACAGGUCAUUUAGCGCGAUGAGAUCACUUAUUGAGUUUAAAUUAAUUUGUCUAUAUGAUCCAAUAAAAUAUUUGCUAGGUUAUUUAUAUUGUCCAACUGAGAUAGAUUUGUAUCCAAUUGAUCACAUCCUCCUGCAUCAAAGAUUAUUACAUGGCUAAUAAUCAAUAAUGUACAAUCUCUCAAACUAUAUCGUGCAAUUAUUGAGGUAUCCAUAGACAUCUUAAUUUAAUUAAAUCGAAGUAUGAGGAAAUAAAGUUGUUAUGGUUGUCUCUCAUGGAAUUAAAAAGCUAAUCCUAAAAGGUGUAAUUUAACUAGUUAGAUUCUAAAUUUUUUUUUUAGGUCACCAGUUAAUUCAAGUUCUACAAAACUUAUGGCCACUAAAAACAUAAAUAAUCGUUAAUUUUAGGGUCCAUAAAAUUAAUUGAAAUACAUACAAAUUAACCCGGACACCAAAGUUAAUAAUAAUAAUAAUAAAAAAAAGCUUGUACAUAAGUUUUCACUCUGUUCCUGGUUUAUUAAAUCUCUUGUCAUGACCUAUUUCAUUGGUGGCUCGCCCCAUGCAAUUAAUAUUCAUGUGGAUUAUCCAAAGUAGCAUUUGAAUUCUGUAAAUUAACUUCCUUUUUGUUCAAUUUCCUAUGUCUUUAAAAUUUUGUUAUGGACAUAAGCCUAAUUAAGUAGACAACAUUGUAGUUUCGAUAUGCCAUAAUUUUUAUCUGAAUGUCCGAUUGAGGCUUGUGAAAACAAUGUAAAAAAAGAGAGAGAAGGGAAUUGAACUAGUUUGAAGAGUUUGAUUUAUGUAAUUCAUAAUCAAAAUCUGGAAUUAGCUAGAUUUGAAGCAAAGUGUGCUACGUACAAUGGCUAAUUUUAUCCUGAAAAUUCCCAUUUUGACCUGUGAGGCUAAGGCAAAUGAAACAGUUGCUAAUAAACAUUUCAUCCAUAGUUUUGAAACCCAGCCCAACACGGUAGGUCAACCCGUGAUCCGGAUGAUCCAGGGCUGUAAUAGGACCGGGUUGAAGAAAAAACAAAAGAAAAAAAAAUCUGGUGUAACCUGGUGGGCUGGUCAAGACCCGGCCUUAAACUCGUUGACUUUUAUUUUAUUUUUAUUUUUGUUUUAUUAAAACGACGUUGUUUUGAUUUUAAAAAAAAUGCCUUGGAUCGGGCCGGCCACCAAGCCGGGUCUUAAAAAUAUGAUUUCAUCUAACAUAUACACAUAAUUAAAGCAAAACAUUCAUGACUCUUUGGCAGAAUGUCGAUAGUUACUGGCCUUAGAGAGCAUAUUGUUAGAACCACUUAGGUGGAGAUUAGUGGUUCGGUCUAUGCCAUUAAGGUUACAGAAAAACCAUGCUUAGAGGUUAAUUCAAGUAGGGUUGAUAAAAAGAAGGUUGUGGAAAAUUGGGCUGGGAAGUUGAAUCCUUCCAACUUUGAUACUUUAGAAUCCUCCCAACAUGAUUCUCUCAAAUCAUCAUAUGCUGCUGCUGAGUAAUUUUGUUCUGAGGAGCCAAUGGAAGCUGGAAUACAUGGAGCAAAAAUUGAUGACACGAAUGAGACUGCUGUAUGUAGCCAUGGUAUGGAUAGGGAAUUCUCUUUUUGUGAUCCUGGGUGAACAUGUACUGCCUGAAAGAAUUAACAAGAAGGGUACUUUGAAUGUUGAUUUGCUUUCUCCAGAGAAGGGUUCUUUGAGGAAAUCUGUUGCUGAGGAGACAGAAACAACCGAUACCGACCCGAUAAAUGCAACGCUGCACUAACAAGCUUCCCUGCUACCAUAGCUGCUAUAAAAAGCAAUGGAGUCCAAAUUGUUGAAAAGCAGUCAGAGGAAAAUUUAAAUAUUGAUGGUGGGCUUAUCUCUAAUGCUUAUAUGGAUGAGUGGAGGAAUGGAUCACAGUGUAUUGGGCUAGAGGAAAACACACUCUCAAUAGUUCCAGUUAACACACAUGAGCCUCUGUUAACUACUUACUAUAAGGCUUCGGACCAACAACUGAUCUCAUUCAUGCUUAAAUGGCCCGGUGAAAUAUAAUAAAAACAAGAUGUUUGAGGUCUUCAUCACACCUAUAGCAGAACCAGAGGAGGUAGCUGAACUAGAGAAGGAAAAGAAGAGAAGUUCGAACAAAAGAAAGAAGAAACUUUCCUUAAAAUCAGCAACUCGUAAGGGGAGAACAUCAAGAAGUAGAAAAGAGAAGUCUGCUAACCUGGAAGAGUGAACUUUAGCAAUUAGAUCGACAAGGGGAAUCAAGAAAUGGAUUCCAGAUGGCAGCGUCUUCAAGUACUUUCCAAAUCUCUGUACGACAAACGCUUUCUUCUCCGGCACAAUCCGUACCCCCCAAUUCACAGGUGGCGUAAUCUCAUAACUAAUUAAUUAUAAUAAAUUAAUAAAAAAAAAUGGAAGAAAGACAGGGAGGGAAUGGGGAAUGAAUGUACCUGGUGAAGGGGUCGCGGCCGGUGCUGAGGAGGCGGACGGAGAUGGUGGAGGAGAGAGGAGAGGAAAGGCGGUUGUUUUGGGCUAAGUGAAAAGAAGGGGGUUUAAAUAAGGGAGAAUUGGAGGAGGGAGCGAGGAGGGUUCUGCCUCUGGAAGCGGUGGAAGCCGAUAAGGAGGAGAGGUGGUGGGAGGUUCUUACGGCGUUGUUGAGUAAUAAAUGACUCCUCCUCCUCCACAUUUUUCCGUCUCUCUUUGUUGUUGCUGUUGAAAAACCCUUGGCCUCCUUAAUUAUCGAACCCUCCCUCACUCUCACACUCUUCACUCUGAUCUGCUCUGCUGACCCUCUCCCCAAGUCACCCUCUCUCUUUUGUUCCCCCUCUGCCCACUCAAAUAAUUUAUUUUCCGAAGUUGUAAUUGAC